rnacentral:rRNA from 1 species
UGUACGUGGUGUUACUGCGAAGGGGGGACGGAGAAGGCUAUGUUGGCCGGACGACGGUUGUCC